rnacentral:misc_RNA from 1 species
AUGGCGCGAAUCGUCGAGAGCAGUUUUGUGCCUAUCGCCGUGGGCGUGGUUGCCGUAGUCGCCGGCGCCCUCAUCGUCCACUAUUUCCUGAACAGGAAGUCCACCAAACCCCGCCGGGAACCCAAUCGCACCGCCCGUCUCCGCACUCUGGUGGAUCCCAACGACAAAUACCUGCUGCCCCUCGUGGAGAAGGAGGUGCUCAGCCACGAUACCCGACGAUUCCGCUUCGGAUUGCCCUCCAAGCAGCAUGUCCUUGGCCUGCCGGUGGGUCAGCACAUCCAUCUGAUCGCCACCAUUGACAACGAACUGGUGAUCCGUCCGUAUACGCCCAUCUCGUCGGACGAAGAUGUCGGCUACGUGGAUCUGGUGGUCAAGGUCUACUUCAAGGACUCGCAUCCCAAGUUCCCGGCCGGCGGCAAGAUGACCCAGCAUUUGGAGAAAAUGGAACUGGGAGAUAAGAUCUCCUUCCGUGGUCCCUCCGGACGGCUGCAGUACCUCGGCAACGGCACCUUCUCCAUCAAGAAGCUGCGCAAGGAUCCGCCCAAGAAUGUCAACGCCAAGCGGGUGAACAUGAUUGCCGGCGGCACUGGCAUCACUCCCAUGCUGCAGUUGGUCCGCGAGGUCCUCAAGCGCAGUGACAAGGAUAAGACCGAACUGGCGCUUCUGUUUGCCAAUCAGAGCGAAAAGGACAUUCUUCUCCGCGACGAACUGGACGAACUGGCUCAAAAGCAUCCCGAGCAGUUCAAGGUCUGGUAUACCGUGGACAAGGCGGCUGAAGCCUGGUCGUACAACACCGGCCACGUUAACGACGACAUGAUGCAGAGGCAUCUGUUUGCCCCGGAUCCGGAUACGUUGUGCCUGCUCUGCGGUCCGCCGCCGAUGGUCAACUAUACGUGCAUACCCGGAUUGGAGCGUCUGGGCCAUCGGUCCGAGCAGCGCUUUAGCUAUUAGGAUGCAGUGGUGGCCACUCCACUGACCACUAUUUACUCUCCCUGGGUUUUGCUUUCAUUUCACAAUCCCCCCCCAAGGCCAGCGGGAAAGAUUGCGCAGUGAUGGGAGAGGAGGCUGGCCAUAUAGCGUGGGCUUCAUCAACGAGGACAUGAUCGCCGCCCACCUCCUGCCCGCCUCGGACGACACCAUCGUGCUGCUGUGCGGC